GGAUGAACGCUGGCGGCGUGCCUAAUACAUGCAAGUCGAGCGAACAGAUAAGGAGCUUGCUCCUUUGAAGUUAGCGGCGGACGGGUGAGUAACACGUGGGUAACCUACCUAUAAGACUGGGAUAACUUCGGGAAACCGGAGCUAAUACCGGAUAACAUUUAGAACCGCAUGGUUCUAAAGUGAAAGAUGGUUUUGCUAUCACUUAUAGAUGGACCCGCGCCGUAUUAGCUAGUUGGUAAGGUAACGGCUUACCAAGGCGACGAUACGUAGCCGACCUGAGAGGGUGAUCGGCCACACUGGAACUGAGACACGGUCAGACUCCUACGGGAGGCAGCAGUAGGGAAUCUUCCGCAAUGGGCGAAAGCCUGACGGAGCAACGCCGCGUGAGUGAUGAAGGGUUUCGGCUCGUAAAACUCUGUUAUUAGGGAAGAACAAAUGUGUAAGUAACUGUGCACAUCUUGACGGUACCUAAUCAGAAAGCCACGGCUAACUACGUGCCAGCAGCCGCGGUAAUAC
rnacentral:rRNA from 1 species